AGCGAACGCUGGCGGCAGGCUUAACACAUGCAAGUCGAACGGGCACUUCGGUGUCAGUGGCAGACGGGUGAGUAACACGUGGGAACGUACCUUUUGGUUCGGAACAACACAGGGAAACUUGUGCUAAUACCGGAUAAGCCCUUACGGGGAAAGAUUUAUCGCCGAAAGAUCGGCCCGCGUCUGAUUAGCUAGUUGGUGAGGUAAUGGCUCACCAAGGCGACGAUCAGUAGCUGGUCUGAGAGGAUGAUCAGCCACAUUGGGACUGAGACACGGCCCAAACUCCUACGGGAGGCAGCAGUGGGGAAUAUUGGACAAUGGGCGCAAGCCUGAUCCAGCCAUGCCGCGUGAGUGAUGAAGGCCCUAGGGUUGUAAAGCUCUUUUGUGCGGGAAGAUAAUGACGGUACCGCAAGAAUAAGCCCCGGCUAACUUCGUGCCAGCAGCCGCCGUAA
rnacentral:rRNA from 1 species